ACAUUCACGGGAAUUAUGUCCUAGAAGCUUGGCAAUUUUUUUUUCCAAAAGCAUUCUUUGUUUUUCUAAAAAUAUCAAUUUGGUAUUAGGAAAUGAAAGACCUAUAGGUCCUGAGUUUUUUCAGACUUGGCUCUGGGUAGGUCCUCCUAAGCACUCAGUUUUGAGCUGCAUAUGUGAAGGCAGAGCAGGAAUAAAAGGAGAAAAUACUGAGAAGAGUCCAAAAUAUGACUAAAGAGAUGAAAAAACAAAAUGAAUGGUUGCUCACACCUCUUUCCUAUCCCUACAUAGAAACACACAGGAAAAUCAGAGCAACAGGGAGUUUUAGUGAUAAAAC
rnacentral:lncRNA from 1 species